UAUAAUACCCCAGAAGGCACCAACAAAAUUACUUUCAAUAUAAGCAGCAUACCUCAACAAGGGUCACCAUCUCACCAACCUUUUUGGGCCCUUGGGAGUAUUUGCAAACCAGAGAAACAGUAGUGGGAACCACACACACACUGCAACCUAUUCUAUUGGCUACAAAAUAAUUCUUUUAAGUCUAAAUUCAGCAAGGGGAGAAGAUUCUGUGGACACCCGAGAAGGCCUCUGCAGCAAAGGGUAUCAGAGCUGGUGUUACCCCUUCCACUGUUUUGCCUGAAAAUACUGUGAAGAGAAUAACCUUGGGUUGCCAGUGUGGCACCUGUAGAUGCCAUGGUGUCCUUGAGGUCUUUCCUUGGUGCCUGUGAUGUUCCUGUAUUAAUGUAUAUAUGAUGCGUCGGACCUCGCGCAUGGAGUCGCCUUGCUGCAGGAGAGAGAAGGCACCAGACAUCCAGUGGCGUAUCUGAGUCGCAAGCUGACGUCGAGGGAGAAAAACUAUUCGUCGGUCCAAAAGGAGUGCCUAGCGGUCGUUUGGGGACUGAACAAGUUGCGCCCAUACGUGUGGGGACGAAGAUUUACGGUGACGACGGAUCAUCGGGCCUUGUUAUGGUUACAGACUAUGAAAAACCAUAACACUAUGCUGCAGAGGUGGUCCUGGGCCCUACAAGACUAUCAAGUGGACUUCCAGUUCAUAAAAGGCAAGGACAAUGUAUUGGCCGAUGGACUGUCAAGGCAGGUGGCUGGGACUGCAGUGACGUGACGCAGACGUAGGAACAAAAAAGACAUUUUCCCCAUAAAGACUUGGUUUUAUUGUUAACGCGGCGUAUGAAUCCUAGAGCAGGAAUAAUACUCUGCCGUUAUUUUUAAGGGGGGGGAAUGUGAUGUUCCUGUAUUAAUGUAUAUAUGGUAAGUGCUGUUUGUAUAGAAGAUACAUGGUAAGUGGAAUGAAAGAGGAGGGGGGAGUAAAUGAGCAGUAGAAUGCUGGAUGAUUGGCUGAGCGUUUGGAUGGCUGAGAGUAUAAAUGGAAGGAUGACAGUUGAAUCUGGGUGAAC